GACGAACGCUGGCGGCGUGCUUAACACAUGCAAGUCGAACGCUGAAGACCUGGCUUUUGUUGGGUUGGAUGAGUGGCGAACGGGUGAGUAACACGUGAGUAACCUGCCCUCUUCUUUGGGAUAACGCCCGGAAACGGGUGCUAAUACUGGAUAUUCACUGAUCUUCGCAUGGAGGUUGGUGGAAAGGUUUGUUCUGGUGGGGGAUGGGCUCGCGGCCUAUCAGCUUGUUGGUGGGGUGAUGGCCUACCAAGGCUUUGACGGGUAGCCGGCCUGAGAGGGUGACCGGUCACAUUGGGACUGAGAUACGGCCCAGACUCCUACGGGAGGCAGCAGUGGGGAAGAUUGCACAAUGGGCGAAAGCCUGAUGCAGCGACGCCGCGUGAGGGAUGGAGGCCUUCGGGUUGUAAACCUCUUUCGCGCAUGGUCAAGCCGCAACUGUGGGUUGUGGUGAGGGUAGUGGGUAAAGAAGCGCCGGCUAACUACGUG
rnacentral:rRNA from 1 species